rnacentral:sRNA from 1 species
GCACUGGCAAAAUCCAGUGCCGGGAUUCGAACCCCGUUUUCACAGCGGCCUAAAACACGCAGAGCGUGUUUUUU